CCCCUAGCCCCCAGCUCCUCUGUUCCAUCUGGGGCUGGCUGAGUCCCGGGCCCGGCGGGGUCAUCAACUACAGGGAAUGAACUGCAAGAAUGAGUCAGACUGGGACAAAUCGCUGGGGUCCAGCAACACUGAUAACUCCCAGGCUUCUCUGCUCCGGAUUCUGUUCCUGGACGUGCAGAAUGUGCUAUGCCCCCGGUGCCGCAACAGGAGGAGGAAUGCUCGGUGCCAGAGAUCGAUCGAGGAGUGUACGGACCAGUGCUCGACUGCGCACGAUGACAGGAGCGAAGACUUAGACCAGAACCAAGACAGGGACAGGGACAGGGACCUGGACUGGGAUGGGGAUGGAGAAGAGGACGGUGAUGGGGACGGGGACGGGGACGGGGACACCUCCACGUGUUGGGUUCAGUACUUAAGCCGAGACCACCACCGCUCUAACCAGAGCCGCUCCCUUUCUUCCGAGUCCCCUCGGACAAGGCAAAGAGCGUCCUUCGGCUUGCAGUGGCUUCAUCCUCUGGAGCUGGCUCUGUAUGUAGCUGGUGGGCUGGUCCUGCUGUCCUUGCUAGGAACAGAGAACUUAGAAACGCUUCUGCCCUUCUUUUUCCUCUUUGUCCUUUACGUGCUAUUCACUAUGCCCCUGGCAAAGGUACUAGGCAGCAAGAGGCCAUCUCCAAAGCAGAUUUGGAGGCAGUAUUAAGGCAAAGCUCUGGGUCUAAUACGCUCUCAGCCCCAAAUGCAGGGGAGCUCUCCUCGGAAUGCAGACCAUAUCCUCGAAUAUUGAAAUCCAUACCUGGAAUACAGUGCCCUGACCAGAGCAGACCCGAUCUCCUUAAUCUCUGCCCAAUCUCCAAUAGGAAUCUUGGACUGGGAAGCAAACACGGGAGCCCAAAAUACAGCCCAAAUACAAAGGACCCCAGACCCAAACAAGACCCAGACUGGAAAACAUCUGAAAAAAGCAAUAAAGGGGCCCUGACCCAGCCA
rnacentral:lncRNA from 1 species